rnacentral:rRNA from 1 species
UGGGGAAUAUUGGGCAAUGGGCGCAAGCCUGACCCAGCAACGCCGCGUGAAGGAUGAAGGUUUUCGGAUUGUAAACUUCUGUCCUCAGGGACGAAAGGAAUGACGGUACCUGAGGAGGAAGCCCCGGCUAACUACGUGCCAGCAGCCGCGGUAAUACGUAGGGGGCGAGCGUUGUCCGGAAUUACUGGGCGUAAAGGGAGCGUAGGCGGCCAAUUAAGUCAGAUGUGAAAUUCCCGGGCUUAACCUGGGCAGUGCAUCUGAAACUGGAUGGCUUGAGUGCGGGAGAGGAAAGUGGAAUUCCUAGUGUAGCGGUGAAAUGCGUAGAUAUUAGGAGGAACACCAGUGGCGAAGGCGACUUUCUGGACCGUAACUGACGCUGAGGCUCGAAAGCGUGGGGAGCAAACAGG